GACGAACGCUGGCGGCGUGCUUAACACAUGCCAGUCGAACGGUAAGGCCCCUUCGGGGGUCCACGAGUGGCGCACGGGUGAGUAACACGUGAGCAACCUGCCCUUGACUUUGGGAUACCAGCUGGAAACAGCUGCUAAUACCGGAUAUGACCUCUUCUCUCAUGGGUUGAGGUGGAAAGCUCCGGCGGUCAGGGAUGGGCUCGCGGCCUAUCAGCUUGUUGGUGAGGUAAUGGCUCACCAAGGCUUCGACGGGUAGCCGGCCUGAGAGGGCGACCGGCCACACUGGGACUGAGAUACGGCCCAGACUCCUACGGGAGGCAGCAGUGGGGAAUAUUGCACAAUGGGCGCAAGCCUGAUGCAGCAACGCCGCGUGCGGGAUGACGGCCUUCGGGUUGUAAACCGCUUUCAGUAGGGACGAAGCUAACGUGACGGUACCUACAGAAGAAGGACCGGCUAACUACGUG
rnacentral:rRNA from 1 species